rnacentral:rRNA from 1 species
AUGCUGGAGGUAUCAGAAGUGCGAAUGCUGACAUAAGUAACGAUAAAGCGGGUGAAAAGCCCGCUCGCCGGAAGACCAAGGGUUCCUGUCCAACGUUAAUCGGGGCAGGGUGAGUCGACCCCUAAGGCGAGGCCGAAAGGCGUAGUCGAUGGGAAACAGGUUAAUAUUCCUGUACUUGGUGUUACUGCGAAGGGGGGACGGAGAAGGCUAUGUUGGCCGGGCGACGGUUGUCCCGGUUUAAGCGUGUAGGCUGGUUUUCCAGGCAAAUCCGGAAAAUCAAGGCUGAGGCGUGAUGACGAGGCACUACGGUGCUGAAGCAACAAAUGCCCUGCUUCCAGGAAAAGCCUCUAAGCAUCAGGUAACAUCAAAUCGUACCCCAAACCGACACAGGUGGUCAGGUAGAGAAUACCAAGGCGCUUGAGAGAACUCGGGUGAAGGAACUAGGCAAAAUGGUGCCGUAACUUCGGGAGAAGGCACGCUGAUAUGUAGGUGAAGUCCCUCGCGGAUGGAGCUGAAAUCAGUCGAAGAUACCAGCUGGCUGCAACUGUUUAUUAAAAACACAGCACUGUGCAAACACGAAAGUGGACGUAUACGGUGUGACGCCUGCCCGGUGCCGGAAGGUUAAUUGAUGGGGGCAGCGCAAGCGAAGCUCUUGAUCGAAGCCCCGGUAAACGGCGGCCGUAACUAUAACGGUCCUAAGGUAGCGAAAUUCCUUGUCGGGUAAGUUCCGACCUGCACGAAUGGCGUAAUGAUGGCCAGGCUGUCUCCACCCGAGACUCAGUGAAAUUGAACUCGCUGUGAAGAUGCAGUGUACCCGCGGCAAGACGGAAAGACCCCGUGAACCUUUACUAUAGCUUGACACUGAACAUUGAGCCUUGAUGUGUAGGAUAGGUGGGAGGCUUUGAAGUGUGGACGCCAGUCUGCAUGGAGCCGACCUUGAAAUACCACCCUUUAAUGUUUGAUGUUCUAACGUUGACCCGUAAUCCGGGUUGCGGACAGUGUCUGGUGGGUAGUUUGACUGGGGCGGUCUCCUCCUAAAGAGUAACGGAGGAGCACGAAGGUUGGCUAAUCCUGGUCGGACAUCAGGAGGUUAGUGCANUGACCCGUGAUCCGGGUUGCGGACAGUGUCUGGUGGGUAGUUUGACUGGGGCGGUCUCCUCCUAAAGAGUAACGGAGGAGCACGAAGGUUGGCUAAUCCUGGUCGGACAUCAGGAGGUUAGUGCAAUGGCAUAAGCCAGCUUGACUGCGAGCGUGACGGCGCGAGCAGGUGCGAAAGCAGGUCAUAGUGAUCCGGUGGUUCUGAAUGGAAGGGCCAUCGCUCAACGGAUAAAAGGUACUCCGGGGAUAACAGGCUGAUACCGCCCAAGAGUUCAUAUCGACGGCGGUGUUUGGCACCUCGAUGUCGGCUCAUCACAUCCUGGGGCUGAAGUAGGUCCCAAGGGUAUGGCUGUUCGCCAUUUAAAGUGGUACGCGAGCUGGGUUUAGAACGUCGUGAGACAGUUCGGUCCCUAUCUGCCGUGGGCGCUGGAGAA